GAUGAACGCUGGCGGCGUGCCUAAUACAUGCAAGUCGAGCGAACGGACGAGAAGCUUGCUCCCCUGAUGUUAUCGGCGGACGGGUGAGCAACACGUGGAUAACCUACCUAUACGACUGGGAUAACUUCGGGAAACCGGAGCUACUACCGGAUAAUAUUUUGAACCGCAUGGUUCACACGUGGAAGACGGUCUUGCUGUCACUUAUAGAUGGAUCCGCGCUGCAUUAGUUAGUUGGUAAGGUAACGGCUUACCAAGGCAACGAUGCAUAGCCGACCUGAGAGGGAGAUCGGCCACACGGGAACUGAGACACGGUCCAGACUCCGACGGGAGGCAGCAGUAGGGAAUCUUCCGCAAUGGGCGAAAGCCGGACGGAGCAACGCCGCGUGAGUGAUGAAGGUCUUCGGAUCGUAAAGCUCUGUUAGUAGGGAAGAACAUAUGUGUAAGUAACUGUGCACAUCUUGGCGGUACCUAAACAGAAAGCCACGGCUAACUACGUG
rnacentral:rRNA from 1 species